GUUGCCAGGUGCAGAAGGAUCACCGAUAAGAUGUAUUCUUAUCAAAUGAUGCAUCUGCUUAUUUUCUCAUCUUUGAAAUGAUGAUCGCCCCAGGAUAAGCAGCAUGGAAUAAAGACGCAUCAAGACUGAACAUAGAUCGUGCUUGCAAGGAAUGGGAUAGAUAUGCAAUGUAAAUUAUCAUCUUGGAUAAUUGGAACACCAUGUUCUAGUGGCCUACCGGAACUGUUACCGGUAGGACAUUGAACAUACAAUAUCCAGUGCUUCCUUGAACCUUCAAUAUCCAACACAUACCUUGGUCUCACAGAUUUCUCAUUUAAGAAAAAAUUUCUGUUUUCCGAAUGUAGUUGGAUUGGACCUCAAUUGUGUGAAGUUAAUUACUGUUGUAG